rnacentral:tRNA from 1 species
GGUGGCUUAGUGGUAGAGUGCUUGUCUUGCAUGCAUGAGGCCCUAGGUUCGAUUCCUCAGCACCA